AAUUCUAUUUGCAGACAAUGCAGACAUAUGUUUAUUCAAGCUGUUCCUUCCUUGCGCUAUUUCAAUAAUAACCAACUUUAGGAGCGGCAAAUUUAGCUAACUUAAGAAGAUUUUGCAGUGCUUAGUUACUUGUAGUAGCUUAUUGCUUGGCUUAAUUUUCUAGUCGGGCAUCACAAGGUCCGUGUUUAAAAAUGAACUGUUUGAAGAAUUCUCGGAGUAAUAUUAGAACAGGCAACUCUAACUGAGUGAGCACUGCUUUUGUCGCAAAAUGUAGCAACGAGCUAGGCAGA
rnacentral:lncRNA from 1 species